rnacentral:sRNA from 14 species
UUGAUGCCUUGGGGAGAACAAAGCCUUUUAUUUGUCCCCAGGCAUGCUAUACCCAUGAUCCAUAAUCACAUAUAUUCCCUCUGACCUGAAAGGACCACCUUUAAGGGUGAAAACAUAGUUUAGUUUCCCGGGCCUUUAAAACUUGCCCUUU